UACGUAGGGUGCAAGCGUUAAUCGGAAUUACUGGGCGUAAAGCGUGCGCAGGCGGCUUUGCAAGACAGAUGUGAAAUCCCCGGGCUCAACCUGGGAACUGCAUUUGUGACUGCAUGGCUAGAGUACGGUAGAGGGGGAUGGAAUUCCGUGUGUAGCAGUGAAAUGCGUAGAUAUGCGGAGGAACACCGAUGGCGAAGGCAAUCCCCUGGACCUGUACUGACGCUCAUGCACGAAAGCGUGGGGAGCAAACAGG
rnacentral:rRNA from 1 species